CCACUACAGGGAAGGAAAAAAAGAUCCUGUAAAGGUGCCCAGCAUCAUAAAUAAUGAUUUGGAAAGGCAUGAAAAGAAACUAUUGAGAGAUGAAGAGGUAGAAGAAGAUUAUGAAGAUAGGGUUUCAUUACAACUAGCGGAA